rnacentral:rRNA from 1 species
AUGCAGCAAAGGAUGCACAUCCAGUUGAUAGGACUGGGUGGACUUCUCAAGACACCUAGCAUCAAAAUUAGACGUGUACUAUGCAUGGCCAUCGCUAAUUCAUAUGAUGCAGAGGAUGCCUUUAUCAUCAAAGGGAGACCAUGUAGGAUCACACUAGAAGAUGUAGCGCAUAUAACAGGCAUGCCCUGCCAUGGGAAGAAGCACGACCCUUCAAAUCUUGAUGAUAAUAUGGAGUUGUGGAAAAAACUGAAAGACCGUAAUGACACCAAAAUAACUUUCAAAGGAUUGCUAGCCAAGAUGAAAGGCGACAACACACCAAAUUUUGUCAGGCCAUUUGUCUUGUACACCAUAGGCAAAUAUGUAUGCCGAACAAAAUAG